UGGACUUCGGCGAGCACUUCUCAGCCAGCGGCGAGGAGCUGAUGUAGUCGUCGGAGUCGUCACAGUAGUCGCUGUCGCCGAACGAGGCGGCAGAGUAGAGGGACGGAGCGUAGGACUCGGAGGCCACGGAGUAUCCUCAUCCUCUCCCUCAGCUGCUCAAGUCCCUGGAUCACGUGACCGCGGCCCUUCAGAGGGUCACUCAUGGCAGCGGCCGCCUCCAACACGUCGCUUACCGCCGAGAAGAUCGACCCCAGAUCAGUCACAGUUCUUCCCUGCAAAGAGUUGUCAUGAGAUGUUUGAUGAAGGUCUCCGUCUGCGAGUGCCGGAUCCGACUGAGCUGCUCAGCCACCGAGAGGAAGUCGGCGGGCACCUCGCACGGGUUCAUCAGCAGCGCCGUCCUGCAGGCGGCACAGGGAUCAUGUGACUGGUAGUGCCGGUGCAUGGCGUGCCGUGGAGGUGGUGUUGGGGGAGGCAGUGUCCUGAUGGAACAGCUGCAGGCAGAAGGAAGUAACAGCAAUAUUUAUUAAAGCAUUGCACUUCACUACACGUCAAACCUGGGAGUAUAAAGAAAUAGAUGGCAUUAAUAUGGGGUUUGGUGAGCAUUAUUGAAGCAUAUAAAGCAUAGUUUAAAUGCAUUAUAUUACAUCAUAUAACUUGCAUUUCUCUAAAUGCAACAUAUGUAUUAACCCUAGAAUAACGCAAUGUAUUGUGUUUUAAUUUAAUUCAAGCAGCAACAGUAACUCACAUAUUAAUUUACUUUCUGCUUUUUAUCAGAAAACUAACAUAUUUAAAUUGGUAAAUGUAUUUCCCUUUCACUGGCAAGUAUUUUAAAAAGAACACAAGUACAAUAUUCUGUAAUAUCUCCUACUUCUUUCAGUGUGUCUUGGUCAUGAAGUCAUAAAAUAGGUAAAAAAAAACCUCAUGCCGUCACAAAUCUGUGAUGGCGUCAUAUUCUUUAAAGUAUCACUUAACAUUGUAGUUCCAAAAUGUAAGAUAUAGGCACAAAUAAUGAACCACAUUCAACAAUUCACUGACUGCAUACGGUGCCUUUGACCCUUGUAAGUUUCAGCAAAGUUGUUCAAAUGGUUUGAAAGUGGUUUGUUUAGUUCAAUUCUGAAGCUUCAUUUUCUUUCAGAUAGUUCCCAGCUGAACUUAGAGCCUCAUUGUUGUCACACAUGGUUUUGCUGGCAGUGUUUCUGGCAUAAACAGCUGCGUUUUACAUUGGUGCCACAAACGAAAUGCAUUUCUUUGACUCGCCACUAGAGGGAGAACUUUGACCAGGGUUGAAAGACAUCAGAAAGGCUAGAAACACACGCACACACACACACAGUGGCAAAAAAAAAACAACCUAGAUGUAGAUCUAUAUUUACCUGGCG